UGCAGAAAUGGGGGUUCCUUUGCAGCCCAAAACAACUCCAUCGCUGAAGAAGAUGAUGAACUUCAUGCUCCUUGUUUUGGACUGAAGGGAGCUCCUAGUUCUUCUCU
rnacentral:pre_miRNA from 1 species